CCGGCCCUUUUUACCAAGGGUGGCUUUGGAGUGGUGUUUCUUUUUUUUUUUUUCUUUUUCUUCAUUAGUAUUAUCAUUGUUAAUUUUCAACAGAAAGAGGUGUUACAAGCCCAAAAAUGAGCAAAGCAGGUACCUACCUCGCCCAGGCGUUGUACCAGGAGUGAAGCCCUUCCCCGCAGGGUGUUGUGUUUCCUCACAAACACCCCAAAAACAUGGCUCUGCAGGAACCAGCCCCAUAAAUUCAUCUUCGCUUGUGUGCAAUUCUCUUGCUCUUCUUUCCUUUCCCACCUCCUGGUCUUUCCUGGUCCAUCAGCUGUCUCUGAUGGAAGCAUGGGGCAUCUUUCAAACUUGAAAACAUCCACUGCUUGUCUCCUGCCGAAUUUUUACCAGCAUGUGGAAAAAGAGGCUCUGAGCCAGCUGCGAGGGGAGGGAAAAAGGAGUGGGGGGGAAGAGGAUGCAGACAGAGAAAGGAAAAAUUUUGCUCAUAAAAAUGGUGAUGACGCUGGUUUACAAUCCCCGAUUUCAAUUUGUCAUACGUUCUUUUUCUUCCUCUC